GGUAGCUGAAAUGUGCGAGUUUUGGCCUCAGGGACAAAAACUGUCAGGACGAAGAAGCUGCUAGAAACUGGGAACAGGAAAAUGAAAGCUUGGUGCGAUAAAACUGCAGCUCAGGCUGAGCUGACCUUUUGACCCCUGAUGGAGGGCAGCAGGCCUGAAUGCUCCGCGUGGCUCUGCGUGUCACAGCGGCAGAACUCCGAGGCCCACGGCCAUUCCUGUGUGAGCCCGCGAUAAAAGAGGGGAGCUUCCCGUUGGUCCUCCUUGCCCCGCUCCCCCAUGAAGAGCGACUUGGCAGGGUAAUUAAGAAUGGCCUCUAAACACGGCAGCAUGGCAGCAACGCUCCAGAUGAAAGUAAAUGAUUAAAAUAAUUACAGGCUGA